UGGGUGUUGCGUGACUUUUCCUGGGAC
rnacentral:piRNA from 1 species